rnacentral:rRNA from 1 species
UGCCCAGACUCCUACGGGAGGCAGCAGUCGGGAAUAUUGCGCAAUGGAGGAAACUCUGACGCAGUGACGCCGCGUAUAGGAAGAAGGUUUUCGGAUUGUAAACUAUUGUCGUUAGGGAAGAUAAAAGGCAGUACCUAAGGAGGAAGCUCCGGCUAACUACGUGCCAGCAGCCGCGGUAAUACGUAGGGAGCAAGCGUUAUCCGGAUUUACUGGGUGUAAAGGGCGUGUAGCCGGGCUGACAAGUCAGAUGUGAAAUCCCGUGGCUCAACCACGGAACUGCAUUUGAAACUGUCGGUCUUGAGUAUCGGAGAGGCAGGCGGAAUUCCUAGUGUAGCGGUGAAAUGCGUAGAUAUUAGGAGGAACAUCAGUGGCGAAGGCGGCCUGCUGGACGACAACUGACGGUGAGGCGCGAAAGCGUGGGGAGCAAACAGGAUUAGAUACCCGCGUA